GAAAAUAAACCUGAUGGGUUGUUGCUGGCUCUCUAGGGAGCAUGUGCACACCUUGUCAUCUUUAUAUCUCCACCUGUGCACCUUUUGUAGACAUCUUUCCCUAGGUGUCUAUGUUGAUUCUUCAUUUACCCCCAAUGUAUGUCAAUAGAAUGUUGUGCCUAUUUAAUAUAUACAACUUUCAGCAACGGAUCUCUUGGCUCU
rnacentral:misc_RNA from 1 species